rnacentral:rRNA from 1 species
GAUGAACGCUGGCGGCGUGCUUAACACAUGCAAGUCGAACGGUGAAGCUCCAGCUUGCUGGCGUGGACCAGUGGCGAACGGGUGAGUAACACGUGAGCAACCUGCCCCUGACUCUGGGAUAACAGCCGGAAACGGCUGCUAAUACCGGAUAUGCACCAUGAACGCAUGUUCUGUGGUGGGAAAGAUUUUUCGGUUGGGGAUGGGCUCGCGGCCUAUCAGCUUGUUGGUGAGGUAAUGGCUCACCAAGGCGUCGACGGGUAGCCGGCCUGAGAGGGUGACCGGCCACACUGGGACUGAGACACGGCCCAGACUCCUACGGGAGGCAGCAGUGGGGAAUAUUGCACAAUGGGCGAAAGCCUGAUGCAGCAACGCCGCGUGAGGGAUGACGGCCUUCGGGUUGUAAACCUCUUUGAGCAGGGAAGAAGCGAGAGUGACGGUACCUGCAGAAAAAGCGCCGGCUAACUACGUG